AAGGCUGUCCAUUCCUACAUGGUGCUCUUCUGUUCUGACCUCCUAGUGAAUGGUGAUAAAGGUUAAUGACUAUUUGGACUUUAAUGUGUGUGCCUAUUGUUUCAAAGGGAGAAUCAUGAUUUAAAAGAGGCUUAGGAAGACUUCAUGAAUUUAGUUGUCAGAAAUAUGACUCUCCCAAGGCUUGGGGUGAGUUGAAAGAGACCUCAACACAAGCCCAUUAGCUUGAUGCAAUGUCCUGCUUAGGGCUUGCAAGAGUCCAGUGUAAAGGCAAAUGAAAGACCCAGGUGCAAAAAUGGGUGGGCAUGUGUUUCCUUUCUUCCAUCAGAUGGGGCGUCCUUACUCCCAGUCUUUCCAGAUGUUCUUCCCACUCCUCAACUGCUCCUGGCUCAGAAACCCUGCACACCUGGAAGAAAGUGAGAACCAGUUUUUCAACAAACACAUUGCACAGACUUAUUGUGAACCCCGGGUGGAAUCAAGCAUCGGAGGAAGAGAACGUGGGUCUUGCUGUGUCCCUAGGCUGGAGUGCAGUGGUGCAGUCUCAAUUAUGCCAGAUGGCUCUGAGGUCCAAGUAAAAGAUAAUAUUUGCAACCAACUCACUGGAGUUGACCAUCAAAACUCUUUUCCAGGUGGAAAAGCACCCUGAAUCCAGCUUCCUGCUAUGAAUGAAUACUGAGCUUGGGUUGGUGGAAAUUGAUUUUCGAGAUAAAGAAUCCAGCCAGGACUGUGAAGCCCCAGGGAAUGGCUGCACUUCAAGUCAGAAGGAGCCUGGGUCCCUGAAUCAUCAUGUGGAAGGCUCUCCACCCAGUUCAAUGGUGCAAUGGACCACAAGCAGGAACUUAAUUUAGAAUGUGCUUAUUUUGUUAGAUUUUGUAAUUAAAAAAUGGAUCCCACUCUGACUGAA
ensembl:lncRNA LINC00640 long intergenic non-protein coding RNA 640